GAAGGGAUGUAUUUAUUAGAUUAAAAACCAAUGCCCUCCGGGGCUCACUGGUGAUUCAUGAUAACUUCUCGAAUCGCAUGGCCUUGCGCCGGCGAUGGUUCAUUCAAAUUUCUGCCCUAUCAACUUUCGACUGCUGGGUCUUGGCCAGCAAUGGUGACAACGGGUAACGGAGGGUUAGGGCUCGACCCCGGAGAAGGAGCCUGAGAAACGGCUACUACAUCCAAGGAAGGCAGCAGGCGCGCAAAUUACCCAAUCCCGACACGGGGAGGUGAGUUUCUACCCAACGACCAAUUGAAAUAAAUGUCGGACGCUAACAGCCCUCUAGGUAGUGACAAUAAAUACUGAUACAGGGCUCUUUUGGGUCUUGUAAUUGGAAUGAGUACAAUUUAAAUCCCUUAACGAGGAACAAUUGGAGGGCAAGUCUGGUGAACAAAUGCUGGCGCCAGAGAUAGUAACCCUAUUGAAUUACUAGUCGAGCACCUCUUCUCAGCGGGUGGGUGCCGGCGAGACAACCCGGAUCGGGGAAGGCUUCACGCCCUAAAGGGCGCUGCUGAUCUCGAGCGGAGCUGCUGGUUAGUCCAGCGGUCCGUGUAGAGCGCGGAAGGGUGUCGGUUCGCCGGGCUGAAGAGCCUGGGGAGCUUGAGGGACGUGCCGUUAGCCUCUGAAAAGAGGACCAUUCUGCCGAAGCGCCCGCUGCGCGAAGGCACGUGGAACAAAGAAUACAGCGGUGAGGUUUCCGGAUCUCCCGCUAAAAAGGCCAGCAGCCGCGGUAUUCCAGCUCCAUAGCGUAUAUUAAAGUUGUUGCAGUUAAAAAGCUCGUAGUUGAACCUUGGGCCUGGCCGGCCGGUCCGCCUCACCGCGUGCACUGGUUCGGCCGGGCCUUUUCCUCUGGCGAGCCCCAUGCCCUUCACUGGGCGUGUGGGGGAACCAGGACUUUUACUUUGAAAAAAUUAGAGUGUUCAAAGCAGGCCUAUGCUCGAAUACAUUAGCAUGGAAUAAUAGAAUAGGACGUGCGGUUCUAUUUUGUUGGUUUCUAGGACCGCCGUAAUGAUUAAUAGGGAC
rnacentral:rRNA from 1 species